rnacentral:rRNA from 1 species
GAGAGUGGCGAACGGGUGAGUAACGCGUGAGCAACCUGCCUAUGACAGUGGGAUAGCCUCGGGAAACCGGGAUUAAUACCGCAUAAAAUCGUAGAAACACAUGUUUCAACGGUCAAAGAUUUAUCGGUCAUAGAUGGGCUCGCGUCUGAUUAGCUAGUUGGUGAGAUAACAGCCCACCAAGGCGACGAUCAGUAGCCGGUCUGAGAGGAUGAACGGCCACAUUGGAACUGAGACACGGUCCAAACUCCUACGGGAGGCAGCAGUGGGGAAUAUUGCACAAUGGGGGAAACCCUGAUGCAGCGACGCCGCGUGAACGAAGAAGGUAUUCGUAUCGUACAGUUCUGUCCUAUGGGAAGAUAAUGACAGUACCAUAGAAGAAAGCUCCGGCUAAAUACGUGCCAGCAGCCGCGGUAAUACGUAUGGA